rnacentral:rRNA from 1 species
GGACGGGUGAGUAAUGUCUGGGAAACUGCCCGAUGGAGGGGGGUAACUACUGGAAACGGUAGCUAAUACCGCAUAACGUCGCAAGACCAAGAGGGGGACCUUCGGGCCUCUUGCCAUCGGAUGUGCCCAGAUGGGAUUAGCUAGUAGGUGGGGUAACGGCUCACCUAGGCGACGAUCCCUAGCUGGUCUGAGAGGAUGACCAGCCACACUGGAACUGAGACACGGUCCAG